rnacentral:lncRNA from 1 species
UUUUUUCCACUAGUUCAAUAAGGAGUUCAUCAAGAUGUGCAACCACCAGCUUACUCAACUCUGUUUCGACACUCGGAUUACAGUACGUAAAUAUCCAAUUGUGCCUACACCUUCUAUUAUAGCUGUGUUAUAGUAGCAUUUUGACUUAUGAUUACUGCAGUUCGCAUGUCGGUUAGAGGUGUAACAGAAUAAGGUUUUCUCUUUAAACAAUUCUACUGUCACAGGACUUCUAGCUAAGUUCCUUGACGACAAAUACCUACGGGACGCUAAGCGGGACACCUUAAAACUCCUAAGUGCUCCAUAACAGUACAAACGUAUGGUAUGUUGAUGUUUUGACUAAGUUAUGCUGAUUUUAUGAAACAGACUAAGUAGUUGUUUCUAUUUUCCUG